rnacentral:misc_RNA from 1 species
AAGAAAGAAAAAGAAAAAAAUUAUAGCCCAGAACGCCUCAAAUGUUAUUUUCGUGCGUCUAGAACACAAAGAUUUCGCGGGGGCAUGCCCCCGGACCCCGUGGGACAUUGUUGUCUCGAUCGCCCAAAUUUCGAAACCCCUUUCCACCCCCACCUUUGGACAUCUAUCCGCCCCUGUUGUUAUAAUUAUAACAUACUUUUUAAUUAGUUUUUAAACAUUUCAUCAUAUAAAUACCUUUUAUUAGUAUCUCUAUUUUUAUUAGUAUUUGAUAAUAUCUCAUUUCAUCAUAUAAAUGCCUUUUAUUAGUAGCAUUAUUCUUGUAAUGUUUAUGUUAUGAUUAUACAAUUGUCUUAGUAUUGUAUUUGUACAUCAGUAACAUUUUUUUAUUCACAUGUGUUAUACAAUUUUUAUUGUUCUUCAUCUUUGUUACUUCUCCGGAUACUUCGAUGGUUCGAAAUAAUACCGCCAUUGUUCAUUGUUCGAUGAUGAAUUAGGUUAAGUGUCUGUCGCCCUCUCUCGUUCUCCAUUACUCAAGCUCCCCUGCAUGUCCUCAUAACAAAAUACUGUGGACUGUGUAGUAGCUUGGUGGUAGGUAGUUGUGGUUGGCUCUUUCUGCGAACUUGGGAAUGCUUUGUUAGGAAUGCUAAAGCAAUGUACCUAGGACCUGUAGGAUUAUCGGGAAGACGGUAUUCAAUUAAAAAGGCAUUAUUGUAUUUCUGACGCACAUGUUCAUAAGUUCCGUCAAAAUGGAUGAACAUAGAAAGGCAGUCUCCUUUUCAGACACGCAUGUUGUGGCUAAUAAGAAUGGAAAGUUGAAGAAAUACAAAACAGAUGAAAACUUAGGCGGCCACAUGGCGUCGGCUGCCGAUACCUGCUGCACAAAGUUUAAGGAUUCUUGUGAAAUUGCAUUCAGUCCUUGGAUGACCCAUCGCAACCCACUACCGACAAACGCAUCACGAAUUGAACGUUGCAAAUACUCUUUGAUGUGUCCACCGCAUGGACUAUUGGCUAGAGCUUUAACUUACGGACUUAUUCUGGUUUUGGUCUGGGCUGCUAUGUGGUCAAUAGCGGGAGGAGAUGCGCUUCCUGGCGGAAACUUAUUUGCACUGUAUGUUCUCCUUGUUUGUUGUAAAAUUGGUGGAAUUCUUAUAUCAUUCAUAAAAAUGCCUCCACUUCUGGGUAUGCUUAUUGUAGGCCUUGUGUUGGCAAACGUACCACAUAUUGAUAUAGCAAAAGAUAUCACGCCUUCCUGGUCAGAAGUACUGCGCAACAUAGCCUUAGCGGUUAUUCUGAUCCGAGCCGGUCUAGGAGUUGAUGCAAAAGCUUUGAAACGACUACGAUAUGCAUGUCUGCGGCUAGCAUUUUUACCCACGUUGUUUGAAGCAGCCGCUGUGGCUGUAGCAGCUGUUCUGCUGUUGGACUUCCCCUGGCUAUGGGGGUUCAUGCUGGGGUUUGUGUUGGCUGCUGUUUCACCAGCUGUUGUGGUACCCUCCCUGCUAAUUCUUCAGGAGCAAGGAUAUGGCUUAGUCAAGGGUAUCCCAACCCUUGUCAUUGCAUCGGCAAGCAUCGACAAUGUAUUCGCUAUUAGUACUUUCAGUAUUCUUCUCGCAUCGACAUCUUCAUCAGCAAACAUGGUGUUUACAAUUCUAAGAGGCCCAAUAGAGGUCGUAAUGGGGAUCGGAGCUGGUGUAAUAUUUGGGAUGGUAUUGUGGUUUUUACCCAAUAAGUAUCAGUCAGCUAUAGUUGGAGUAAGGAGUGUUUUGAUUAUGUCUUCAUCCAUUCUUUCACUUCUUGGCCUGAAAUUGGCUGGCUAUUCUGGGGCAGGUGCCCUUGCAUGCCUCGUCUUACCGUUCGUUGCAGGCCUAGGUUGGAAAAAUGGCAAGAUAAAAGUUGGUAAUGUAGUGUCAGUAUUCUGGCUAUUUUUUGAACCUCUUCUGUUUGGUUUGAUUGGUGCUGAGGUAGCAAUUACUCAGCUUGAACCGUCAACUGUAGGGUUGGGCAUUGCUAUUAUCCUUAUUGGUUCUGUGGUCAGGAUGGCUUUAACUUAUCUCUCCGCAUCAGGUGGAAAUUUAAACAGGAAAGAGAAGGUGUUUACUGCCCUCGCUUGGUUACCAAAAGCUACUGUACAGGCGGCUAUAGGUUCUACAGCAUUAAUAGAAGCAACAAAUAGAGAUGAUCCUGAUGAACGUGAGAUAGAAAUGGCCACUCAGAUGCUUACACUGGCUGUGCUUGUUAUCCUGAUCACCGCCCCGAUAGGAGCAAUCAUGAUCUCAUUAACGGGUCCAAAAUGCCUAGACUACUCACCUGCUAAUGCAAAUGAGGAGGGGGAUCAAGAGGACGAGGAGAAUGGGGACAUAGAUGAAGAUGAUCCAUUUUGCAAUCGCAGCGUCUUCUCCAGUUUAGGUAACAAUGGCAGAGGCUUCUUUGUUGUACGUGACGAUGAUCUGGAUGCGUUGCCACGUGAACCAAAACUGAUUCGUAUUGAGGAAUACGUUGAUUCUGAGGAUGAAGACGCCGUUCCAGAACGAAGGUAUAUGGAGACUGAUAUUUGAAAGGUGAUGAAAGAGCAUUGUUGUUAUUGGAAGAUGAAUCACGUUCAUAAGAUGAGGCAACAGACAUUGAGAUACAGUGACAGAGGAUAAAUCCAGCCAUGGUCCUGGAUUUUUUGCGAAAUGUACAUCUUCAAAAUUCGCAUGUUGAUAAUAAUUGGCAGCUGAAUGAAAAAACUGGAAAGAAGUUUCUUGGUGAUAAAUGUGGUUGUCGAGCUUGUUAUUCCACAGAGGAACUAAACUGUCACAUCAUUUAUUAAUAUUGUUUACUAAUGAUAACUUCACAGUUUGCAAUCUUGCAUCAUUUCGAGUUCUACUCACAUCAUUUCAAGUUCUACUCACUUCACUGUUUGUGAUAUAUUGAGAAUAUGGAUGUGUUUUUGUGAAUUGUAGCUGGAAAUCAGUUUUGAGGAAACAAACACAUUGCAUCUGGGUUUGGCGGAUCAAAGAUUUUGAGGAUGGGUUAGGUCCUUCUGGUGGUAAGUUGGUCAGUGCACUGGUAGAUUAUUCCCAGCUGUUUUUCGCUGAGUGUACUGCGUUCUUGUACAUAGGUCAUAUUGAACUAAGGGCUUAAACAUCCUUUUCGAAAGAUGGUGUGCUAUUGAAACUUGUAUUUUAGCCCUCCAACUGAAAAGACAAGGAGAACGGCUAUGGAAUAGAACUGCGGAUCAAGGUUAUAUUAGGGUCCCAGUUACACACUAAAUACUACCAGUUUAUCAUAUAUAUCAUUUAUUUCAUCUUCAGUUCAACACAUGCAGUAACAGAUUAACAACAAAAAGAAAGAAAAACAGAAAAGAAACAUUCCUAGCUAAAACCAGACGGGAUUGCUGAAAAGUGGCAUUAAAGCUACUCUUUAAAGUGCUGCUAGCAACAAAAUAAUACAUAAGCAACAUAAAGGUAAAAUAAAUUGCAACAUAAAGGUCAAAUAAAUUGUUUCAUGUUAAAAUAUAUUUCAUCAAUGAAUUAGAACUUUAUAUACAUAUUUAAAAUUUUGUUUAAGCUGCUCUCUCCAUGAAUAGCAGACAACAUUUUUCAUUUUUCAUGGGUUACUGUAUAUUUUUUAAGGGAGCCCUCUUGAGUUUACUUUAUAACUUUCUCACUAGGUUGCUGCUUUUGGACUACAUGGACUUCAAUUGGAAAUUUCCUGAGUAUUUUGAUUGCUUUAAAUUUUGUUGAACCCGCUAGAAUAAAAUAUCAAAAGCUUCAUAAUUGGCAUCACAAUACAGUAAACCUACACAUUUAUAUGUUGUGUAACAAUUGCAUAAUGUAGUCAAUGUUAGUGGGGAGAAAU